CUAUUGCUUCUGGUACACUCAAAUAAUUAGGGGCUCAACAAGGGUUCUUCUAAUAUCCUUAAAGUUCUUCAAAGAACCUUAGGGUUCUUGGCACUGAAAAUGGCCCCCAAGAGGUUUUUCCAAUAACCUCAUAGGUGGGGUUCAUCGAGGAACCUCCUUAGUUUGUGGGGGUUCUUGCUGCCUAACAGCCCGACUGAAACACUUCGGUUUGAAUUUGAAAGGACAGCAGGUGUAGGCACUUAACUGACAAAUGUAAAGAUCUCCUCAAUUUAAGGUAUACAGACAAGGAGGCAUACAAAUGUAUUUAAAUUGGUAUUGGUAUGUUAUAAAGAUCACAUAUACCAUCCUCCUUCCUUACUUGGUCAAUGAACAUACCAUAGGCAUCUACAUUAUGGACAAGACUUCACCCUCCCUACACCUCUGAUGAAUAUAACAGGAAACCUGUUCGAUUACCAUGUACUGCAAAAUCAUUCUGGCUAUGGAUACAGAGAACAUCAACACGUUAACAUUACCACACCAGAGGGUAUACCCAUUGGACUUGGGGCUCUGCUGGGAGUUUACCCCAUAUUUAGAUUUUUUUAUUCUGCUU